AGGAGGUAGGGCAGGCAGCAGACUCUAAGGUAGCAUUCUGCCCGACCCUACAGGGAGUCCAGAGAGCUUACCUUGGUCUCGAUGGAAUGGAGUUGAGGCUGACCAGGGCCCAAGGAUACCAUCAACUGGUAUCCUAGCAGGGCAGCCCAAUAGGUGUGGUGAAGCAGGGAUUCCUGUGUGUGGGCGGGGUUACCACAGGCCCCUGUGUGUGGGCGGAGUUACCACAGGGCCCUGUGUGUGGGCGGAGUUACCACAGAGCCCUGAGACUGCUAGAGAGUUAUCUCCAGGGUCUGAGACCUGGCCCACCAAACUCGGUUGUAACCAGAGCCUCAAGUGUAGCGUCCAGGAAAGCAAAUGGUCAGGUGUGGAACCCCCGAGGCACAGUUUGGCUUCACCUCCCCCAACAGGACUGUCAGGGUUGAUGGAAAGGGAUGCAGGAUAUCAAGUGGGCGGAUGUGGCCCCUGCACCCAGGCUGUGGCUGGGUCCUAGAGAAGGGUGUCUAAGUAGAUGGGCUCACUGCCAUCUGGGGACUCCAGGCCCUGAUGGGAAGGGAGGCCAGGGACUUCCCAGGAAGAGGAUGGAGUGGCAUGCCCUCCCCCACUUUUAGCCUUCCCCUCCCCUCCAGGGCUGUACAUACUCCAUCCCCUCGUCUGACCCACAAGUAUCCUUCUCCACUGCCACUUCCUCUAGUGCUCACUCCCUCAUAGGCCCGCCCUCGGGAUCCGAGUCAACCAUCCUGCAUCACAGACUGGUUUGGGGGCUUCUUCACACACUUUUUAUUUUUUGUUUUCAUUUGUACAGCAAAACAUUCUUUUCAAAUGUGUCUUUCGACUGACGUAACUUUUCUGGUGCUGUUAACUUGUCUUUUUUUUUUUAAUUUAUUUUGCCACCCCUCCUGGUUCCUACUCACCCCCCCCACCCCACUCCCCCUACUCCUAUCCCAUUACUUUUAUUCUUUUCUUUCUGCCAAGUUUUGGAUAAAUUCUCCCACCCACCCCGGUUUCCAUCCUCUCCUUGAUUUAAAUAGUCACUGCUACAAAGUAACAAAUGCACUGUGAAGAUUCCAGUAUUAAUAAAGUGGUACUGUAGUUAAC
rnacentral:lncRNA from 1 species